AACUUGGCUAAGAUUAAAGAGUGGCGCAUCAAGGAGGAGGGAUUAACUGCUAAACUCAUCACAGCCAGGGCACGUGCCUGUCUGCCUUGUAGAUCCCAAAUGCUGGAAGGACUUAGGAGAAGGAAAAAUGGGCAUUCAUGCUUCCAAGGCUGAGAAGCUGAUCCAAGCCCAAGAUUGAAGAAAGGGAUCUUGGCACUGUCAAGAUGGAGCAAAGUCAUUUCCAUUUUAAAGUCACUGCCUUUUUAGGGACCUAUUAAAAAGAAGGGGAGGGCAGGGGAGUAGUGGGCUUCCUAUAGCUAAGGAACAUAAGUGAUUAUUUGCAAUUGUUGGAAGGAGAGAACUAAUUUUUGCUAAUAAACUUAAAUGAAAAACCCUGUAAUUUGGAAAAAAAAUUUUAUGUGUGUGCCAGAUUUAAUAGAUAAAAGAACCAAGAAAUUUGGACCUGAAAUACAGAUGGUAAUUUUUGCACAAUGAACAGAUAAGUAUUAAUUGUACCAAUAAUUAAUGGGGUUUUUGUUUUACUAUGUGCAUUAAGAAACUAGCAAUUAACAAUUGUUCUUGAAUUUUAAUGCUCAUUUUCAAAAGUUAAGUGUUGUCAAGGGGAUUUGGCAGAGAAUUUUCUGUUUGCUUGGAGUUGCUGAUAAAACCCCAAAGAUGAAAACAAUGUGUCAUGUUCCCUUGCAUCCUAACGGGUACCGCAAGGGCUGAUCACACUGUCCCACAGGACUUCCUAGGUAGGAGAUUUGCAUGACCUCUGACUCGGGCAGCCAUUGACAUGUUAUCAUGUAUAAGGUUCAAAUCCAGAGGAUAUGGGCCUUACUGUCAUCAGGUGAAGCCUCUGUCCCUCCCCAUGGAACUGGGGGACUCAAGCACCAGGAGAAUGACUGGAGAUAGUCGGAGUAUAUGAAAUCACUGGACCUUGGUGUCUCCAUUCCUAGCAAUACCUGACAGGCCUGCCGUACAGAGCAGCUCCACCUGCAAGUUGCCACAGCUUGCCAGAAGAGUGAGGAUGCGGUGGUAAAGGGGUGGAGAGAAAUCAAACACAGAUAAGUGCCUGCAAAUGUCGAAAUUUCUGAAGGCAGAAGGCUGCAGCUGGAGUAGCCUCUAGUAGCAAAGCGUGAAGCCCUUUGAGGGUUCAUGUUUGUGCCUAGCAAGUAAAGGAUAGGACCACUGCAUCUGUUUUCUUUGCUGCCAGAGAUUGUAAGACAGGAUUUCAGUGGAUCUUGGAUAGGGUGACCAUAUAAUUGAUAGUCUACCCAGGAGGACCCUUGGGAAUGAAGACAGGAAGCCGGGGCUGGGCUCAAAAAACCGGACAAAUGUUUAUAUUCUGUGCUGGAGCUCCCAGGAGAGGGGAAGAAAGAGUGGCAGGAGUCAUAGCGUUGAGGCCCAGGGGCUGCCUGGCCAAACCAGAGUUGACCCACCUAAAAAGGGUUAGAGGGAAGGAUUGCAUGGGGCCAAAGGGGAAAUUAGGCUGCUCCACUGUCUGGGGUGCAGCUGAACGCUGCCCUUAGAGAGCGGUACAGCUCAAUGCGAGGAGCUGCUCUGUACGGCAGGCCACCCGCGCCAGGCCAAAGAGGACCAACGCGGAAGAGGGGCACCUUCCUUCUCCUUCACCCUCACCCAAUCCACGCUCAAGAGGAGCGGCCAAGCAUGGAAAUCUGUGAAUGAAGUAUGGGUGUGUUGUUUUAAACUGGGCUAGACCAAGUUUUAACAACCACAAGCACAAAAGUGCUUUUCCUCAGGUUAAAGAAUCCAAAAGGGGAUUUGUCAGCGUGGUGGGGGUGAGAAGUCCUCACAAUGGUGACACCACACCGGUUCAAAGGGUGGGUACCACCAAUUAAAAAUAUUUAAUAACAGGAAUAUCUGGAUGCGCCCUUUAAAGAGCUGUUAACGGAGACACACUUGCGGCCCCCGACGUUUUCCGAGCGCUGGGUGGGAGGCACAGUCCGCCUGGUGCGGUCUGCACGUGCGCAAAGGGCACGGCCUGAGCACGCGCCGCCGCGUUGCGCAGCUGGAGGCUACGUUCCCCGGAAGCGUUCGCCGCGGCGCACUUCUGCCUCCGGGUCGACGGGCCCCGCAGCCCACGCGGACCACCCUGGGAGAGGAGUGAGGCUCUGGCGCCUCGCGCGCGUAGUUUGGUCCGCCUCGGCUUGCACUCGGUGUUCUCUGCCCUAGGAGCAGGGCUGAGAGAGCGAGACCUUGGGCACGCGCGGCCUCUGCUCAGUCCUCCGCUCUUGCGGCCAGCCUACUCGCCUGCAGUGGCUGCCACCAUACACCCGUGUCCCUUGGCCAGAACACCCCAGGGCCGGGCUCCUCCUCUCUUCUCUUUGCCUGGUGGCUGGACACCGCGAUCUCUUCUCAUGUGACCUACUGGACAAAAAGGGGAUAAGUUGAACCAUAUGAGAUUGACUAGACAGGAAAGGCCUGAGCAGGCAGGCUGGAGGGAGAAUAAUGAAGCCUUGAUGAAGGGUUACACUCCCAGUGAAGGGCCCCCACCCAUAAGAUGGCGAACUUCCUGCUUCUCUUCCGGGUCCUCGGUUCCCGCCGGCGCCACCUGAAGCCCAAUCACCCCUCGCCCCCCUAAUCCCAGCACCUAGCCAAUAGCCACCAGCCCCUUAGAAGUGACACCUCAGUCAGCUCAUGCCCCUUCCUAUAUAACCCAGCACCUUUCCCUAAUAAAGCGGAAUUCUCC